rnacentral:rRNA from 1 species
GACGAACGCUGGCGGCGUGCUUAACACAUGCAAGUCGAACGGAGAAUUUAUUUCGGUAAAUUCUUAGUGGCGAACGGGUGAGUAACGCGUGGGCAACCUGCCCUUCAGAUGGGGACAACAUCCCGAAAGGGGUGCUAAUACCGAAUACGAUCACGCUGCCGCAUGGCGGAGUGAUGAAAGAUGGCCUCUAUAUAUAAGCUAUCGCUGAAGGAUGGGCCUGCGUCUGAUUAGCUAGUUGGUGGGGUAACGGCCUACCAAGGCGAUGAUCAGUAGCCGGUCUGAGAGGAUGAACGGCCACAUUGGGACUGAGACACGGCCCAAACUCCUACGGGAGGCAGCAGUGGGGAAUAUUCCGCAAUGGACGAAAGUCUGACGGAGCAACGCCGCGUGAGUGAUGAAGGUUUUCGGACUGUAAAACUCUGUUGUUUAGGACGAAAGUGCCUGUUGCAAAUAGUUGCAGGUAUUGACGGUACUGAACGAGGAAGCCACGGCUAACUACGUGCCAGCAGCCGCGGUAA